AGUGAACGCUGGCGGUAGGCCUAACACAUGCAAGUCGAACGGCAGCACAGUAAGAGCUUGCUCUUACGGGUGGCGAGUGGCGGACGGGUGAGGAAUACAUCGGAAUCUACUUUUUCGUGGGGGAUAACGUAGGGAAACUUACGCUAAUACCGCAUACGACCUACGGGUGAAAGCAGGGGAUCUUCGGACCUUGCGCGAUUGAAUGAGCCGAUGUCGGAUUAGCUAGUUGGCGGGGUAAAGGCCCACCAAGGCGACGAUCCGUAGCUGGUCUGAGAGGAUGAUCAGCCACACUGGAACUGAGACACGGUCCAGACUCCUACGGGAGGCAGCAGUGGGGAAUAUUGGACAAUGGGCGCAAGCCUGAUCCAGCCAUACCGCGUGGGUGAAGAAGGCCUUCGGGUUGUAAAGCCCUUUUGUUGGGAAAGAAAAGCGGCAGGUUAAUACCCCGCUGUUCUGACGGUACCCAAAGAACAAGCACCGGCUAACUUCGUG
rnacentral:rRNA from 1 species